rnacentral:rRNA from 1 species
AUUGAACGCUGGCGGCAUGCCUUACACAUGCAAGUCGAACGGCAGCACGGGUGCUUGCACCUGGUGGCGAGUGGCGAACGGGUGAGUAAUACAUCGGAACGUACCUUAUCGUGGGGGAUAACGCAGCGAAAGCUGUGCUAAUACCGCAUACGCCCUGAGGGGGAAAGCGGGGGAUCGCAAGACCUCGCGCGAUUAGAGCGGCCGAUGCCUGAUUAGCUUGUUGGUGGGGUAAAAGCCCACCAAGGCGACGAUCAGUAGCUGGUCUGAGAGGACGAUCAGCCACACUGGGACUGAGACACGGCCCAGACUCCUACGGGAGGCAGCAGUGGGGAAUUUUGGACAAUGGGGGCAACCCUGAUCCAGCAAUGCCGCGUGAGUGAAGAAGGCCUUCGGGUUGUAAAGCUCUUUUGUCAGGGAAGAAACACCGGCUCUAACACAGUCCGGGAAUGACGGUACCUGAAGAAUAAGCACCAGCUAGCUACGUGCCAGCAGCCGCGGUAA